UUUAAAAAAUAUGAGUCAUAUAAAAAUGAUUAUCAGUCACAAGGAACGGGAAGCCCAAAUACUUAACAAGUGACAGUUAUAGGUACCCAAACUGUUCAUAUUUCCCAAUGGCCGGACCUGGUGACUGCAGAGGAAGGAGGCAACGUCACUCUGAACUGCAACAUCUCCUACAUCAGCAAAUCCAUCAGGCGUGUACUGGUUCAUUCCCGGGGCUGGGGAUGACGACGACGACAUCCCCCUGCACCCCUCUCCUGGAUCCCAGUUCAAGGGACGAGUAGCCCUGACUGGAGAGGAGAACGCAUCCAUGCAGAUCUAUGAGCUGCAGCUCCAGGACUCCUGUAGGUAUUACUGCAUGCUGUCCUAUGUGGAGGGGAACACUCCAAAGAGGACCUCCGGUGAUGGAACACAGCUCUUUGUUCACGGAGUUUCCUGACUGAGCUUGGGUGAACUUGUGCCAACAUGAACCCUGCCCUCAAAAUCCCUUGCAGGUCCCCUUCUUUUCAACCAGACAGCCGAGAAUCCAUUUGUGCUGCACUGCGAGAUCAACGUGGGCAACUCCACGGGGCUCAGCCUGGUGUUUCAGAGAAGAGGUAGAGAGAUGGGUGAGGCGAUGAUAAUCACACCAGUGGAGAACGGGUCAUUCCUCAUAUCCCGGGAACUCUCUGUCACACCAGGAACAUUGGAGGAAUACCAGUGUCUAUUGAAGCAUAGCUCUGGGGUCUUUCUGCUGAAGAAAACCCUGGGUGUGGCUAAAUUCUGUGAGUGUUGGCAGAUUCCAAAUUCCAUGUAUUUUAUGAAACUUUGUGAUUCAUUAAAACACCACCCGGUGGCAAAUAAUAGUUUGCAGUGUAGCCUCCUAGGAAACAACAGAGGCUGCAUUAAGUAACUGAGUGGCUCAGGGUGAGAAUUACUCUCUAGUCGGAUCACUGAUCCGCUCUGCAGGACUCUGAUCUGCUCAGGGGGAGCAGAACAAGGGCCGAAUUAACCUAUACACAAAUUACGCUAUAGCGUAGUGCCCCCAGCAGAACUGGGGCCCCUGCGAGGUUGCCUUUUGUUUAGGACAUUUUACAAAAGAUUUAUGUAUUCAUUUAUUUCAGUUUUAAAUGUGCACAGUAUGCCUUUAGAAAGUCUGCAAAAUAGAAAAGUGCCUAAUUUUGGUGUGAAACUGGAAACAGUUACC